rnacentral:ncRNA from 1 species
AUCUUCAGGGCAGGGUGCAAUUCCCGAUCGGCGGUACAGUCCGCGAGCCGCAAGGCAGGAUUUGGUGUGAUUCCAAAACCGACAGUGAUAGUCUGGAUGGAAGAAGAUG